rnacentral:rRNA from 1 species
GAUGAACGCUGGCGGCGUGCAUGAGACAUGCAAGUCGAACGAAGGAUCGGGCUUGCUCGAUCCUUAGUGGCGGACGGCUGAGUAACGCGUAGGUGACCUACCCCGAAGUGGGGAAUAACUGCCCGAAAGGGCGGCUAAUACCGCAUGUGGUCGCACGUUCAUUCGUGCGAGUAAAGCCGCAAGGCGCUUCGGGAGGGGCCUGCGUCCGAUUAGCUCGUUGGUGGGGUAAUGGCUUACCAAGGCGACGAUCGGUAGGUGGUCUGAGAGGACGAUCACCCAGACUGGGACUGAGACACGGCCCAGACUCCUACGGGAAGCAGCAGUCGGGAAUUUUGCUCAAUGGGGGAAACCCUGAAGCAGCAACGCCGCGUGAGGGAUGAAGGCCUUCGGGUUGUAAACCUCUUUUGUCAGGGACGAUGAUGACGGUACCUGGCGAAUAAGCCACGGCUAACUACGUG